CGUCAAGUCAGCAUGGCCUUUAUAUCCUGGGCUACACACACGCUACAAUGGUCUGUACAAUAGGUUGCCAAGCCGCGAGGCGGAGCCAAUCCAAAAAAAGCAGGCCUCAGUUCAGAUUGUAGUCUGCAACCCGACUGCAUGAAGAUGGAGUUGCUAGUAACCGCAGGUCAGCUAUACUGCGGUGAAUACGUUCCCGGGUCUU
rnacentral:rRNA from 1 species